AAAAAUAAUAAUUAAUGAUAAAUUGAUUUGAAAAUAAUAUAAAAUUAAAUAGAAUUAUAAUAAUUAACGGUAUAUUAUAAUAAUAAAAAAUUAAUAAAAUAAAAAAAUAAAAUAUUUUAUUUAUUUAAAUUAUACCCUUAACUAAAUUUAUGAGUUCCUCGCUGUUUCAAAAUGCAGCGAGCAAGUUGUAUCUUUGAUGAUAAAAAGGCUAGAAAAGAUAAAAUGAAGAAAUAGGGAUUUAUUUGGAUAUAUGAAAAGACAAAUUACCAAACAAUUGAUGGUGCAGUGGGAUAAGGGAUGAUGAGCAUUUGGACAAUCAACAUAUAAUAUUGCUGUCUUGUCCUUUAUUAGCCGGCCUUUUAAAUUUCUGACGAGGAUCUUAAUCAUGCAGCUCUUGUCUAGCAACCAUUCUUACCUUUUUCUCUUUAUAUUUUUCCCAUGUCAUCAUUUUGGCUCUGUCCUUUGGCUUUCUCUUUUAGUCAGGAAAACAUUCUUUCUUGACAAUGAAAUCGAUCUGUUUAUUUUUCUUUUUCUUUGCCAUCCAUAUUCAUCUGCUGAUGC
rnacentral:lncRNA from 1 species